rnacentral:sRNA from 1 species
GCCCAGCGAAGUGGCCGCGGUAGCUCCUGGCGAAGGCGAUGGCGGAGGCGGCGGCUUUGGCUCCUGGCUGGACGGACGGUUGGAGGCACUGGGAGUGGACCGAGCCGUUUAUGGAGCCUACAUCUUGGGUGUCCUGCAGGAGGAGGAGGAAGAAGAGAAGCUGGAUGCCCUGCAGGGGAUCCUCUCUGCUUUCCUGGAAGAAGAUUCCCUCCUUAAUAUCUGCAAGGAGAUUGUGGAACGAUGGUCAGAAACUCAGAAUGUUGUCACCAAAGUGAAAAAAGAAGAUGAAGUACAGGCCAUUGCCACCCUAAUUGAGAAGCAGGCCCAAAUUGUAGUAAAGCCAAGGAUGGUGUCAGAAGAGGAGAAGCAGAGAAAAGCUGCCCUCCUGGCCCAGUAUGCUGAUGUGACAGAUGAAGAGGAAUAUCCUUUCUGGAGUCUUGGCACCAUUCCCUAAAGCUCAAGCCGGACAUAUUUGUGGGUUUACAGUGACGUUUGGCAAGUUGCUAAUCCCCCUCUAUAGCUUAAUUUUCCCCUCUAAAAUGGCAGUAAUCUAUGGCCCUUUGUGGAUAUGCGGAGUGAUAUUGGAUUAGUUGAUACUGGACUUAUAUUUUUCAACACAUAAUCAGUAUAUUCCUGAAAACUUUGGUGUAAAACAAAUAAUGUCUUAAUAGUCCAUUUAUAUUAUGCUUUCA